CCGCCGGUAGCGUAGUGGUGAUCGCACCAGGCCGGUACUCUGGAGGUCGUGGGUUCGAAUCCCACCUGGCGGG
rnacentral:tRNA from 1 species